rnacentral:rRNA from 1 species
AGCGAUAAGUAAUAGUGAAUUGCAGAAUUCCGUGAAUCAUCGAAUCUUUGAACGCACAUUGCGCCCGCCAGUAUCUGCGGGCAUGCCUGUUCGAGCGUCAUUUCAACCCUCAAGCUCCCGGGCUUGGUGUUGGGGAUCGGCCGCCCUCUCCGGCGCGCCGGCCCCGAAAUCUAGUGGCGGUCUCGCUGUAGCCUCCUCUGCGUAGUAGCACACCUCGCACCGGAACGCAGCCUGGCCACGCCGUUAAACCCCCCACUUCUGAAGGUUGACCUCGGAUCAGGUAGGAAUACCCGCUGAACUUAA